rnacentral:rRNA from 1 species
CACGUAGGGGGCAAGCGUUGUCCGGAUUUAUUGGGCGUAAAGAGCUCGUAGGUGGUUCGGUAAGUCAGGUGUGAAACCUCCAGGCUCAACCUGGAGACGCCACUUGAUACUGCUGUGACUGGAGUCCGGUAGGGGAGCGUGGAAUUCCUGGUGUAGCGGUGAAAUGCGCAGAUAUCAGGAGGAACACCUAUGGCGAAGGCAGCUCGCUGGGACGGUACUGACGCUGAGACGCGAAAGCGUGGGGAGCGAACAGG